UACGUAGGGGGCAAGCGUUGUCCGGAAUUAUUGGGCGUAAAGAGCGCGUAGGCGGUCCGAUAAGUUGGCUGUGAAAGUCAGGGGCUCAACCCUUGAAAGCCGGCCGAUACUGUCGGACUAGAGUCCGGAAGAGGCGAGUGGAAUUCCCGGUGUAGCGGUGAAAUGCGUAGAUAUCGGAAGGAACAUCAGUGGCGAAAGCGACUUCCUGGACCAAUACUGACGCUCAUGUGCGAAAGCGUGGGGAGCAAACAGG
rnacentral:rRNA from 1 species